GGGGCAGUGGUUUAAUGGUUUAAGGCACUAUAUUGCAGUGCUAGCUGUGCCACUAGAGAUCCUGGUUCGAGUCCAGGCUGUCGCA
rnacentral:tRNA from 1 species